CUCAUACAUUGCUGUCACAAAGUCUACCUUCUUCUAAGGUGUUUACUGUCAUUGACCUGGCAAAUGCAUUAUUUUCUGUACCAUUGCACCCAGACAGCCAAUACCUUUUUGCCUUCAUACACAAGCACAAACAAUACACAUGGACGGUGCUGCCUUAAGGUGCUCAGAAUUCACCUACCAUGUAUAGCACGGCAAUGGCCCAAAUUCUAGAAGCUGGGCCAAGGGCAGAUGAUGUUGUGUUGUUGCAAUAUGUUGAUGAUUUGCUUUUAUGUUGCCCAGAUCA